UUUCUUUGCAAACUCUCAACAAUAGGCGCAAACACAAAUAAAUUAUUACCUUGCAUUUUUUCCCCCUGGCUUUGCAGCAUGAUAUUGCAGCGCCAGGAGUUAAGGCUGCAGCAUCUCAAACAAACGAUGUUAAGGCUCCCAUAACAACAGAUUCAGGUGCCAUAGCCACCGCAUAUGAUUAUGGAGCAGGAGAAAUAAGCACAACUGGACCACUAUAAAUGACUUGUUAUUAUGGAUCUGAUACAUUCACAAUCAAACUCAUCUCAGCAGCAAUUCCAGAUGGUUUUACCUGCCCUUAGGUUCAAGCUCUGAUCUUAUCUCUGAUAUCAACUAUCCAUCCAUUGAAGUUUUCAACUUCACUGUAAACCAGUUUUCAACAAAGUUGGCGGCAAUGAUGAUACAACAUACGCUCCAAUGCUUUUUGUGCCUCCGAGACUAACAAUUGCAGCCAGUCCGGUGGAGCUAAACUUGCAAAGAAUGGACAGAGACAGUUAUCAAGUUUUUUCCUAUGCUUCUUCACCUCUGGAGGAUGUGUUUGGAGCAGCUACUUGGAGUAACGGAAAAUUUUAAGUCGAGACCCUAAUCGUUGCCAGCAAUUGAAGCAGUAAGAAGUGAAAACAAUGUGUGGUACAUAAAAGUAAUUUACCACUAAUAAUGGCAGCUGUAGCACAUUAGCUCCACAAAUUAGCCUAAAAUGUAAAAGUCAAUUAAUGCUGCAUUUUCAGUAUACCAGCUUAAUUCUUUCACAAGGCACAACCUUUGACAUCACGUACACUGGACCUCCCUUAAAUCACAUGAAACUUCAGCUUAAAUAGUUUUCUUCCUAUUCUAAUCCAAAUUCCCUUCCCCACUUUUUCUCUAUCCUGGACCACGGGGAGCACCAUUUCAUGGGACGUUCAUUGUCCAGGCUAUUUGGUUCACAACAGCCCUUUAACUCUCUCAUUCACAUUUGAAGAGUAGCUGUACCGCACCAUUUCAUAACAGGAAUAUUGGAUCACAGAAAACAUUUGACAAAUUAAAACACACACUUCUCAUAAACGAACAGCAGAUACCAUAUUAACAUAAUGAAAAGGUUACAGCCAGACAUCAGAGUAAGUGAUAGUUUUGGGUAGGGAACAAGCCAAGUAAACUAAUAAUAGUUUGCAAAGCAGUAAUCCUGAACACCCAUCUCCAACAUAAAAAGGGAACUAGAAAUACAGAUACUCUUUUCCUGGCCUUUCAUUCAAAGGCCCAUUGGUUCUCCCUGCGAACUUCCUCCUCUUCCUCUGGUGUAAAGUCAUUCUUGAUGUUGAAAGUCUUGCGAAUUUCUUCUGGAGUUUUGCCCUUGAUCAUGUCUGCUGCUGUCUGACAAGUGUGAUCCAGCA
rnacentral:misc_RNA from 1 species